rnacentral:rRNA from 1 species
GAUCAUGGCUCAGGAUGAACGCUGGCGGCGUGCUUAACACAUGCAAGUCGAACGAAGCACUUAAGAUUGAUUCUUCGGAUGACGUCUUUUGUGACUGAGCGGCGGACGGGUGAGUAACGCGUGGGUAACCUGCCUCAUACAGGGGGAUAACAGUUAGAAAUGACUGCUAAUACCGCAUAAGACCACGGUACCGCAUGGUACAGUGGUAAAAACUCCGGUGGUAUGAGAUGGACCCGCGU